AUUGAGAUCUGAUACUUCACAUGUUCUUAACAUAAUUUUCGUCUUAUCUUACAUUAUCAAACUCACAUCAACAUAAACAACUCUAUAAUAAAUCAUAUUUGAGCAUUAGGUUUAGGAAUCGAUCAUAUAAAGUUUACCCAUACUUAUAAUCAUAUUUCUGGUACAGAGCUCCUUUUUCCUUCAACUAGAUCUUGUGUAGGCAGAAAUCUAGAUAUUAUGUAAGUAUUCUGGUAUGUGUUAAUAGUGCGUGUGUGAAGUUGAUUUUUUUGAAUGAAGAUUGAUCCAGUGGAAGGAGAGUAAGGCGAGAAAUUACAGUAGUAUGGACCAGAUCUGAAUAUAUUACAAAUUACAUAUGGAGGAAUUGAUGGAAGGUGUGAAAUAUUGUAAAAGUGAUGGACAGAGAGACAGCGUUAAUGAAGCAAGGGGAAACACUCACGAUUGGUAGCUGAAGGAAGCACUAUGUAAUGAAGAACAAUGAAUAAAUCAGAGAAACUGCGGAAGAAAAGAAGGAGAGAGUCCCUAAAAAGUUGGGGGUGUCCGUGAUGGUUGUCGUGGAGAGUGAUAUUGUUUCUGCAAAGAGGGCAAGUAGAAUGGUCGUGGAACCAGGGAGCAAUACAAUGAAGGUGAAAACGGUGGUGGCAUCCCGGUAAGAAAAUAUGCGAGGCCCAAAAUGGAUGGGUUUGGAGGGGCGCGAAGGUGAAGCCCAACGAGGAAGCCCAACCCAGAGUGUCAGAGUGAUUGACAUUUCACAAUUUACAUGUAUUCUUGGUACUACUAUCUUAACCGAUUGGUUCCAUUAUCCUAUUUUUCAAUUUGUGGUGUGCGAGCGAACAAGCUUCUUUCAAAGCUGCUUCUUCUUCUGCUUCUUCCUCCGAGAAAAGGAGAGGAGAUGCACUUUACGCUUCCCUGAAUUGCACGCACUCUCUGAGCUUCCAUGCCUUUGUUUGAGAUUACGAAUGCGCAACUAUCCUUCCGUUAUUCUCUGACGUUGAAGGCCCCAAUGCCGUACCAUGCGCCCAGAGGGUCCUGGAUUUGCUUGGACAACCUUAGAAACAGAAAGGAGGCUAAGCUGAAUGUGAUUAAGGCUGUUGCCACCUUCGAACCUAACACUGUCGCUGCAAAACCACACUCCAACCACUUGGAUGUAGUUCCUCUAACCCCUCCUUCCUUUGACCUUCAAUUUUCCGACCAAGAUACACAACAACCUCAACCCGAUGACAGGGAGCAGUUGAGAAGAAUGAGGAUAUCCAAAGCUAAUAAAGGAAACACGCCCUGGAAUAAAGGAAGAAAGCACUCUCCUGAGACUUUGCGCAAAAUCAAAGAAAGAACAAGGCUCGCGAUGCAGAACCCUAAGAUAAAAAUGAAGCUCAGUAAUCUUGGCCACUCUCAAACCACAGAAACAAGAAUGAAGAUUGGUGCUGGAGUGAGAAGGCGAUGGGAAGAGAGGCGUGAAAAGAAGAAGGCAGUGGAGUCUUGCUGCUUUGAGUGGAAAAAUUUAAUUGCAGAAGCUUCUAGAAAAGGCUUUGUUGGUCAGGAAGAGCUGCAGUGGAAUUCUUAUGAAACCUUGGAUGAACAGCUGAAGCAGCAGUGGUUGAUGAGUGUUGACCAAAGGAAACAAAUGAUAAAGACAUCAGGUGGCAAAAGAGCACCCAAGUCCCCUGAGCAGAGAAGGAAAAUUGCAGAAGCCAUUAGUGCAAAAUGGGCUGAUCCUGAAUACCGUCAAAGAGUUUAUUCUGCAUUGUCCAAGUAUCACGGCACGGAAGUUGGAGCUGAAAGGAAAACUAGAAGAAGGCCAAAAGAUGAUACCCAACCUAUCAAGAAGAAACCUACAAAAAAGAGAGAUACUGUUACUAGUGCUCAUGUUAAGAAUGACUCAAAAUCCCAUAAGACCAUCCUGUUGAAAAAAAGUAAAUCCCCAGCCUACAAGGAUCCUUUGGUGAAUUCUAAGCUUGAAAUGAUAAAGAAUAUUAGAGCACAGAGAGCUGCUUCGGAAACCACACAAAUUCAAGCCAUUGAACGAGCAAGACUAUUGAUUGCUGAAGCUGAGAAAGCUGCCAAGGCACUGGAGGUUGCUGCGACAAAGAGUCCUUUUGCACAGUCUUCUUUGAUAGAGACCAGAAAGCUUAUAGCUGAAGCUAUUCAAUCACUGGAAUCCAUUGAUACACAAGCUAUAACUGACAGUAAUGUUCCUUCGGUUGGUUUGAGUGAGGUCAAUCAGGAAAAAGAAUCAGCAUCUGAAGUUCUAAACCAAUCAAAGAUGGCCCCAGUAAAUGGACACACGACAUUAUCAUCAAUGGACUACAAGUUCUCUGAAAAUUUUCGCAAAUUUUCCUUGGAGAAGCCAGUUAAUGGUGAACCUGAACGUCUCCUAACCAAUGGCUGCCCAUCCUUUCCUUUUAGUUUGAAUAGUCAGAUAAGCGAGUCUAGUCCAUCUAAUCAACAAAGGGAAGCUGAACAGGAUCAGAGAAGUGAAUACGAAACAGAGCCUUCUCCAAUAGUGAUGGGAAUUCAGUCCCUUGAAAACGAGACAGUGUCUAGAUCACCUAUAGUAGUAUCUAAAAGAUGGGUUCGCGGAAGGCUCGUUGAAGUGGCUGAAGAGAAACAAUAAAAUGGCAAGAGGUGAGUUGAAUCAGCCUCGCAACAGCCGACCACGUGUAGACAGAUCGAGGAAGACUAAAAUAGCAAUCACUAAGGAAAGGGCACACUUCUAUUAGUUUUGUAGCCACCGCAGAGUUGAGCCCAAGCAGUGGCCAUUUUCCCCUUAGGCAGGAUAAUCCAUUACACUCGGGAUCCCACCCGAAUCAUUAAGAGUAGGGCAGUGUUGGUUAAGGGUCAACGAAAUUUUCUCUUACAUUUAUUUUUUCAAAUUCGCCCUUCAAGUACUGUAUGGCAAUUGACCAAAACUUCUAUAGCUCUGCUCCUUCUCGGUGGUACUGUUUGUAAGGCUUUAUAAUAAAAGGUUCUU